CCAGGGGCGCCCACCCGCGACGUCCUGCUGGUCUCGGCCAUCAUCACCGUCAGCCUUAGCGUGACUAUCCUUCUCUGCGGCCUCUGCCACUGGUGUCAGCGCAAACUGGGCAAGCGCUACAAGAACUCCUUGGAGACGGUGGGCACUCCCGACUCGGGACGCGGGCGCAGUGAGAAGAAGGCCAUCAACGAUCUAGACAGAGACUUUUGGAAUAACAAUGAGAGCACAGUGCAGCAGAAAUGGAGCUCCUACCCUCCCAAGGAGUUUAUUCUAAACAUUUCACCCUACGCCCCUUAUGGCGACCCACGACUGUCCCUCAAUUUCGAGGACUCCACCCUGUCCACGACCACUACCCUUGAGUCUAUCCCCAGCUCCACGGGAGAGCCGAAAUGCCAGCGACCC